rfam:Asian citrus Psyllid, Diaphorina citri - Florida Strain, whole genome shotgun sequence.
GCCUAGUUAGCUUAGUUGGUAGUGGGUCUGCCUUGUAAGCGCUAGGCCGCGGGUUCGAUUCCCGCCCGGGGCG